rnacentral:rRNA from 1 species
CAGCCGCCGCGGUAAUACGUAGGUGGCAAGCGUUGUCCGGAAUUAUUGGGCGUAAAGCGCGCGCAGGCGGAUAGGUCAGUCUGUCUUAAAAGUUCGGGGCUUAACCCCGUGAUGGGAUGGAAACUGCCAAUCUAGAGUAUCGGAGAGGAAAGUGGAAUUCCUAGUGUAGCGGUGAAAUGCGUAGAUAUUAGGAAGAACACCAGUGGCGAAGGCGACUCUCUGGACGAAAACUGACGCUGAGGCGCGAAAGCCAGGGGAGCGAACGGGAUUAGAUACCCCUGUAGUCCCUGUCUCUUAUACA